AUGACGAUCCUGAGUUGGAACUGUCGAUGUCUCACGCAACCUUGCACAGUUCAAGAACUUGUGUGCCUUGUGCAUACAUACAAGCCCAAGCUCAUCUUCCUCUCUAAAAGUCGGCAAAACAGUAAGUACGUCAAAGUUCUGAAAUGGAGGUUAGGCCUCCGACAUUUUAUUAUGCAACCAAACAUCGGGAAGGGUGCCGGCAUUGCCCUCUUUUAUGAUGAGAGUGUUGAAAUAACAAGGUUGUCGUGGGGGCGAGAUACAUCGAUGUGUUGA
rnacentral:rRNA from 1 species